GCUGGAAUUUUGAGAAUUUGAGGCCGGUGAUGGUGAAAGCAGAGAUAGAGAGAGCAAUGGAGUUGGGCGGUGUUUGCAGCUCUCAUCGCCGUCUUUAUUGCUGUGGCUGUGUAUUCGAAAACUACCACAUCUUGUCAUUGUGCCAAGUGGAUUGAUGGAUUGUGUAGGAUGCAAGAAGUGUUGUAUGUGGGGAAAGCUUCAGGUCCUUGGUCUGGGCACUGCAUUGAAAAUCCUCUUCUCUGUUGAUGGUCAGGAACACCCAGAUCAGACUUUGAAAUGCUUGUGGAAGGACAGAUUUCUUCACCGGGUGCCCCAAAUAGUUUAUGGGAAAGGAUAUGGGCAUUCAUAGUUAAAAAUUGAGGUAAAUAGUAAUUGGUGAGAAUAAAUUUUGAAACAGCUAUACAUUACGUCCAAAGGAUGGGUUAUUAGGAAAGUGCAGUGUGGGUUUUAGAAAGAAUGGCCCCCUGGAAAAGAUAUGAUAGAUGUAUAAAAUUCAUUGCAAGACAUAUGAGGUGGUAAAUUUGUAAUUUUCUGGAUUUGAAAAUUUUGAAAGGUCAGGAGGACGAUACAUUUGGCAUUUUCUUUGAUUUCUUUGUUUCUUACUUCUUUUUGGUUCAGAUUCUGCAUUGCAAAUGUAAGAUCUGUUUAAUUGUGCACACCCCAAGACCCUCCAUGUGCAUAAAAGAAUGAAAAUUUUGAGUGCUAUGCUUGAUGCUUCUUACUGACUUUUUAGUUUACAAAACAAUCAUUCUGUAAAUUCAGUUGACUCACUUGACCCGCU